rnacentral:rRNA from 1 species
UACGGAGAGUUUGAUCUUGGCUCAGAACGAACGCUGGCGGCGUGCCUAAUACAUGCAAGUCGAACGAGAAAGUCUGGCUUCGGCCGGGCGAGUAAAGUGGCGAACGGGUGAGUAACACGUGGGUAAUCUGCCCUCGAGUUUGGGAUAAGCCUUCGAAAGGAGGUCUAAUACCGAAUAAUAUCUUUAGAUGGCAUCUUCUUUAGAUCAAAGGCGGGGUAACCUGUCGCUUGAGGAUGAGCCCGCGCUCCAUUAGCUUGUUGGUGGGGUAAUGGCCCACCAAGGCUGUGAUGGAUAGCCGGCCUGAGAGGGUGAACGGCCACACUGGGACUGAGAUACGGCCCAGACUCCUACGGGAGGCAGCAGUAGGGAAUAUUGCGCAAUGGACGAAAGUCUGA